rnacentral:rRNA from 1 species
GAAAUUUAACGGAUUUGGCGGCAAGAUAGCCCCUUAGAGGAACCUGCCCUGUAAACGAUGAACCACGAGGGACUCUACUUUCUUUGGUAGUCAGUUUGUAUAUCGCUGUUGUCAGUUAGAUUCUUGAGAAUAUUUUCGUUUAUGAAAAGUUCAUUGACUUCAAGUAAAGGUGCAGCUUAUAAGGAAGAUAGAGGUGGGUUACAUUUAUGAGAAUAAAACGGAAAGGAUGGAUGAAACAAUCCUUGAAGGUGGAUUUAACUGUAAAACUUAAGUAGGUUUGGUGAGAGCUCUAUUUUGUGUACACACCGCCCGUC